GGGAAUGUAGCUUAGUGGUAGAGUGCUUGCCUAGCAUGCAUGAAGCCCUGGGUUCAAUUCCUCAGAACCA
rnacentral:tRNA from 1 species